rnacentral:rRNA from 1 species
AGCGAACGCUGGCGGCAGGCUUAACACAUGCAAGUCGAGCGGGCACCUUCGGGUGUCAGCGGCAGACGGGUGAGUAACACGUGGGAACGUGCCCAUCGGUUCGGAACAACUCCGGGAAACUGGAGCUAAUACCGGAUACGACCGAGAGGUGAAAGAUUUAUCGCCGAUGGAUCGGCCCGCGUCUGAUUAGCUAGUUGGUGAGGUAACGGCUCACCAAGGCGACGAUCAGAGCUGGUCUGAGAGGAUGAUCAGCCACACUGGGACUGAGACACGGCCCAGACUCCUACGGGAGGCAGCAGUGGGGAAUAUUGGACAAUGGGCGAAAGCCUGAUCCAGCCAUGCCGCGUGAGUGAUGAAGGCCUUAGGGUUGU